rnacentral:rRNA from 1 species
UGGGGAAUAUUGCUCAAUGGGCGAAAGCCUGAUGCAGCGACGCCGCGUGAGGGAUGAAGGUUUUCGGAUCGUAAACCUCUGUCAGAAGGGAAGAAACCGCACUGUGCUAAUCAGCAGUGCCUUGACGGUACCUUCAAAGGAAGCACCGGCUAACUCCGUGCCAGCAGCCGCGGUAAUACGGAGGGUGCAAGCGUUAAUCGGAAUUACUGGGCGUAAAGCGCACGUAGGCUGCUUUGUAAGUCAGGGGUGAAAUCCCACGGCUCAACCGUGGAACUGCCUUUGAUACUGCUUAGCUUGAAUCCGGGAGAGGGUGGCGGAAUUCCAGGUGUAGGAGUGAAAUCCGUAGAUAUCUGGAGGAACAUCAGUGGCGAAGGCGGCCACCUGGACCGGUAUUGACGCUGAGGUGCGAAAGCGUGGGGAGCAAACAGG